GACGAACGCUGGCGGCGUGCUUAACACAUGCAAGUCGAACGGAAAGGCCCUGCUUUUGUGGGGUGCUCGAGUGGCGAACGGGUGAGUAACACGUGAGUAACCUGCCCUUGACUUUGGGAUAACUUCAGGAAACUGGGGCUAAUACCGGAUAGGAGCUCCUGCUGCAUGGUGGGGGUUGGAAAGUUUCGGCGGUUGGGGAUGGACUCGCGGCUUAUCAGCUUGUUGGUGGGGUAGUGGCUUACCAAGGCUUUGACGGGUAGCCGGCAUGAGAGGGUGACCGGCCACAUUGGGCCUGAGAGACGGCGCAGACGGCAAUGGGAGGCAGCGGGGGGGAAUAUUGCACAACGGGCGGGAGCCUGAUGCAGCAAUGCUGCGUGUGGGAUGACGGCCUUCUGGUGGUAAACCGCUUUCGCCUGUGACGAAGCGUGAGUGACGGUAAUGGGUAAAGAAGCACCGGCUAACUACGUG
rnacentral:rRNA from 1 species